AACCUUAUGGACCUGCGGGCGUAUACCUGCGGAGGGAUCAUUACCGAGUCUUCGUACUCAAAACAACCCUUCUGUGGACCUGAAUAAAACCGUUGCCUCGGCAGGCGGCCCUACCUACGGGCCAGAUAGUUCGGCUGCCUCCAGGGAGGAAACCCUCCCUGAGGUGCUGGCGCCAGCCGCUGGCCCCAAACCAAAACUCUAGUAACUUUUACCUUCUGAGUUUUAAUGCAAGAAAUAAGU
rnacentral:misc_RNA from 1 species